GACGAACGCUGGCGGCGUGCUUAACACAUGCAAGUCGAACGGAAAGGCCCUUUCGGGGGUACUCGAGUGGCGAACGGGUGAGUAACACGUGGGUGAUCUGCCCUGCACUUUGGGAUAAGCCUGGGAAACUGGGUCUAAUACCGGAUAGGACCAUGCCAUGCAUGUGGUGUGGUGGAAAGCUUUUGCGGUGUGGGAUGGGCCCGCGGCCUAUCAGCUUGUUGGUGGGGUGAUGGCCUACCAAGGCGACGACGGGUAGCCGGCCUGAGAGGGUGUCCGG
rnacentral:rRNA from 1 species